GCAAGUCGAGCGCGCCCUUCGGGGUGAGCGGCGGACGGGUUAGUAACGCGUGGGAAUAUGCCCAAAGGUACGGAAUAGCCUCUGGAAACGGAGAGUAAUACCGUAUGUGCCCUUCGGGGGAAAGAUUUAUCGCCUUUGGAUUAGCCCGCGUUAGAUUAGGUAGUUGGUGGGGUAAUGGCCUACCAAGCCUACGAUCUAUAGCUGGUUUUAGAGGAUGAUCAGCAACACUGGGACUGAGACACGGCCCAGACUCCUACGGGAGGCAGCAGUGGGGAAUCUUGGACAAUGGGCGCAAGCCUGAUCCAGCCAUGCCGCGUGAGUGAUGAAGGCCUUAGGGUCGUAAAGCUCUUUCGCCAGGGAUGAUAAUGACAGUACCUGGUAAAGAAACCCCGGCUAACUCCGUGCCAGCAGCCGCGGUAAUACGGAGGGGGUUAGCGUUGUUCGGAAUUACUGGGCGUAAAGCGCGCGUAUGCGGAUCGGAAAGUUGGGGGUGAAAUCCCGGGGCUCAAACCCGGAACCGCCUCCAAAACUAUCGGUCUAGAGUUCGAGAGAGGUGAGUGGAAUUCCGAGUGU
rnacentral:rRNA from 1 species